GCGUUAAUGGGGUAGUGGUAACCUUGAUCGUUGCCAUCCAGCUGACUCGAUCAGCCAGGGGUUCGAUUCCCCUUUAACGCA